rnacentral:lncRNA from 1 species
AUGCCGGCGGGAGGUGCUGCUGUCAGGGUCCUCACACCCCGCGGCGGCAGCCCUUCGCUCAGCCGUCUCUCCAGCCGGACCAGCCUCUCUGCCUGUGGGUCCCUGUCCUCCACCCACCUUGGGGCCCCUCUGCAAAGCACCGAGGGUCAGGGGCGCGCGGGCGUCUUCCUCCCAGCCCCUCAUCCCCCAGCGAGCGGAGCCGCGCCCGGGCCCGUCACCGCGCCAUCGCUCCUUCGGGACCCGAAGCCUCUGUGCUCAGCGCCCCCCGCGGCCCCCUGCGACCCCCCGCUUGCCGUCUCCUCCGCCUCAGCACCGCCCUCCCGGAGCCGUGUGCCCUCCCCGACUUCAUCUUCGCCCUUCCCCUGCCGGGCUCUCCCACUGCCAGUCACCCCAGCCCCGCCCCAGCAGCAGCCUCGAGCUCCCCGUGCCCUCGACGGCCUAGCGGCGGACUCGGCGCGGCGCACCGGUGAAGCGGGAGGCGGGGGGCGGGGGGCGGGGCCGCAGCUCCGCCCUCGGGAAGUGGCUCCGCCUUGCCGGGAACUGUCUUCAGGCGCCGUCCGCGGCGACUCCCCACCCCGCGGGGCCGAGCCAGCUGCUCGCAGCGCGGACGGGCACCCCCGCGGGCGCAGAGCGAGUCACACGUGCAUCCUCUCAGCCUCCCCCGGCUGCAGCGCCCGCUGUCCAGCCCUCUCUUCCUGUUUUCUCCCACUGCAGAGUUGGCUCAACAACGUUUGCAGACUUGGGCGAAUUUGCCCAGUCCAGAUUCCCGCUUCCUGGCCUCGCGGCCCCGCCGCUGUUUUCCUCUCCCCUCCGGGACUUCCUCUCGCCCACAGCCCCAGCCUCUGUGGCCGUGGCCUGCUCGGCCUGAGCUGCGCCUCCGGAGGUUCCGCCGCCCUCCGCCUCCCGCUCCUCACUUCCCGCCUCCCUCCUGAGCGGUCCGCCGUCUGGAGAGAGGACUCGGUGCGGGCUCCCUCACCCUCCGUGAGAUUCCCUCAGGGCACAGGCAGAGCUUCCUGCAGCUCGGUUAGCCCCCCAACCCACCAACGGCAAGGAGGGGGACCCUGCCUUCCUUAUCGCUCGUCGCCCGGGGCCCGGCCCGGAGGAGGGCCUCUACCUGGAGGAGCUGCCCGCUCUUCCGUGACUCAGCCAGCGCACCUGCCCGUGAACAUGACACACCCGGGGGUCCGCUGGAGCAGAGUGCGGGGUGAAGGGGUGCACUGGGCACUCAGCGCGGCCCUUGGGAGGCAGGGCCGCCCCAGCCUGCCGUGUCGUCUAGGAAGGCAGUCCGGAAGCAGCAGCCCCGGGGAAAACAACUGGCUGGACAGGGUCUCUCCCAGCCUGAGAGUCGCUUCCCACCACCUUGGCACGAACCUGCUCUGUGGCCUCCAGCAAGUUCCUGCGCCUCCUGUCUGUAAAAUGCAGGUCGUGGCGUCUUCCCUCCCCGCUGUGAGGAUCGUGAGCCAAUGCGUGUGA